rnacentral:rRNA from 1 species
GGGGGAACCCUGAUCCAGCCAUGCCGCGUGAGUGAUGAAGGCCUUAGGGUUGUAAAACUCUUUCGGCGGGGACGAUAAUGACGGUACCCGCAGAAGAAGCUCCGGCUAACUUCGUGCCAGCAGCCGCGGUAAUACGAAGGGGGCUAGCGUUGUUCGGAAUUACUGGGCGUAAAGCGCGCGCAGGCGGCCUUCCAAGUCAGGGGUGAAAGCCCAGAGCUCAACUCUGGAAUUGCCUUUGAAACUGUGAGGCUUGAGUACGGGAGAGGUGAGUGGAAUUCCCAGUGUAGAGGUGAAAUUCGUAGAUAUUGGGAAGAACACCGGUGGCGAAGGCGGCUCACUGGCCCGUAACUGACGCUCAGGCGCGACAGCGUGGGGAUCAAACAGGAUUAGAUACCCUGGUAGUCCACGCCGUAAACGAUGAACGCUAGCCGUUGGCAAGCUUGCUUGUCAGUGGCGCAGCUAACGCAUUAAGCGUUCCGCCUGGGGAGUACGGCCGCAAGGUUGAAACUCAAAAGAAUUGACGGA